ACGUAGGUGACCUGCCCCAAAGUCGGGGACAACUAGGAGAAAUCUUAGCUAAUCCCCGAUGUGGACCCACCCCCUGGGGUGUGUCUAAAGCUUCGGCGCUUUGGGAUGGGCCUGCGUUGGAUCAGGUAGUUGGUAGGGUAAUGGCCUACCAAGCCGACGACCCAUAGCUGGUCUGAGAGGACGACCAGCCACAGGGGUACUGAGACACGGACCCCACUCCUACGGGAGGCAGCAGUUAGGAAUCUUCCGCAAUGGGCGAAAGCCUGACGGAGCGAUACCGCUUGAAGGACGAAGCCCCUCGGGGUGUAAACUUCUGAACUCGGGACGAUCAUGACGGUACCGAGGUAAUAGCACCGGCUAACUCCGUGCCAGCAGCCGCGGUAAUACGGAGGGUGCGAGCGUUACCCGGAUUUACUGGGUGUAAAGGGCGUGUAGGCGGUCUCUCAAGUCCGAUGCUAAAGACCAAGGCUCAACCUCGGGAAUGCGUUGGAUACUGUGAGGCUAGACGGUCGGAGAGGGUAGCGGAAUUUCCGGAGUAGCGGUGAAAUGCGCAGAUACCGGAAGGAACGCCAAUAGCGAAAGCAGCUACCUGGACGAUUUGUGACGCUGAGGCGCGAAAGCGUGGGGAGCAAACCGGAUUAGAUACCCGGGUAGUCCACGCCCUAAACGUUGAGUGCUGGGUGUCCGACAUCCGUUGGGUGCCGUAGCUAACGCGUUAAGCACUCCACCUGGGAAGUACGGUCG
rnacentral:rRNA from 1 species